GAUGAAGAACGCAGCGAAAUGCGAUAAGUAAUGUGAAUUGCAGAAUUCAGUGAAUCAUCGAAUCUUUGAACGCACAUUGCGCCCGCCAGUAUUCUGGCGGGCAUGCCUGUCCGAGCGUCAUUUCAACCCUCGAACCCCUCCGGGGGGUCGGCGUUGGGGAUCGGCCCCUCACCGGGCCGCCCCCGAAAUCCAGUGGCGGUCUCGCCGCAGCCUCUCCUGCGCAGUAGUUUGCACACUCGCACCGGGAGCGCGGCGCGGCCACAGCCGUAAAACACCCCAAACUCUGAAAUGUUGACCUCGGAUCAGGUAGGAAUACCCGCUGAACUUAAGCAUAUCAAUAAGCGGAGG
rnacentral:misc_RNA from 1 species